GCUCGCAUAGCUCAGUUGGUCAGAGCGUGGUGCUAAUAUGUUACUGAGACGCCAAGGUCGUGAGUUCAAGCCUCACUGUGAGCA